UGAGGUCAGUGAUGUUUUUCAUUUGCCUACAUUGGCUGAUUAAUUAUGAUGUAUUUAUAUUUAAAUGACCUGAGACCUCU